rnacentral:misc_RNA from 1 species
AUGAGUUCUCCGACGAUAACAAACAGUGAAUAUUGUGACUACCGCAGUCCCUUGGCAACGAGAUACGCCUCGAAGGAAAUGCGCUACAACUUCAGUGAGCAACACAAGUUCAGCACGUGGCGGAAAUUAUGGAUUUACCUGGCCAAGGCACAGAUGGAGCUGGGUUUAUCCAUUACCCCGGAACAAAUCAGCGAAAUGGAAGCUCACGUGAACGAUAUCGACUUCGAGGCUGCUGCAAGGGAAGAAAAGGCCACCAGACACGACGUCAUGGCUCAUGUCCACGUUUUUGGAAACCAGUGUCCAAAAGCUGCACCCAUAAUACAUUUGGGGACAACCAGUUGCUACGUCGGUGACAACACGGAUUUAAUAAUUCUUCGUGAAGGAUUCGACAUACUUCUGCCGAAAUUGGCGAACGUGUUGUCGCGGCUCACGAAAUUCGCCAUGGAACAUCGGGAUCUGCCGACUUUGGGAUUUACUCAUCUUCAACCAGCACAGCUUACGACCGUUGGCAAACGAGCUACGUUGUGGCUUCAUGAUCUUCUGAUGGACGAGCGAGCUCUUCGUCGCGCUAGAAACGACCUGAAAUUCCGAGGUGUGAAAGGCACCACUGGCACGCAAGCUUCGUUCCUUCAAUUAUUCAACGGUGACGGAGAGAAGGUGAAGCAGCUAGAUCGAUUGGUAACCAAAAUGGCCGGGUUUGAGAAAUAUUAUUCUGUAACGGGACAAACCUACAGUCGUAAAGUCGACGUGGAAUGCUUAAACGUCCUAAGUUCUCUAGGUUCCACGGUUCACAAAUUCUGUAGCGAUAUUCGAUUAUUGGCAAACAUGAAAGAAAUGGAGGAACCGUUCGAAAGCACUCAGAUUGGAUCCAGUGCAAUGCCAUACAAAAGGAACCCGAUGCGUUCAGAGAGAUGUUGUAGUAUAGCGAGGCACUUAAUGACUUUGGCUAACAAUGCUUUGCAAACGGCUGCCAUUCAAUGGAUGGAAAGGACGCUAGAUGAUUCUGCCAUUAGAAGACUCACAUUGUCGGAAGCGUUCCUGUCGGCUGACGUGAUUUUAAUGACUCUCCAAAACAUCACAGAGGGCAUGGUCGUCUAUCCUAAAGUCAUUGCCAGGCAUAUCGAGCAAGAACUGCCAUUUAUGACAGCGGAGAAUAUAAUAAUGGCGAUGGUGAAAGCUGGAGGUGAUAGGCAGGUUUGUCACGAGAAAAUUAGGGUGUUGUCUCAAGAAGCUGGUGCACAAGUAAAACUACACGGAAAAGAUAACGAUCUAGUCGAGAGGAUCAAGAAGGAUUCUUAUUUCGCUCCGAUUCUCAAUCAACUGAACGAUCUCCUGAAUCCACAUACCUUUAUCGGGAGAGCACCAGAGCAAGUUGUCGAAUUUGUGGAAGAGGAAGUUAACCCCGUUCUCGAAAAUUACAAAGGACUCUUAGGCAGGAGCGUGGAUCUCAACAUUUGACCUAACAAAAUGGAUCUUUUAUUUUCGAAGGAAGAAAGGCUUCUUAAGAAUUUCGUGACAUUUCUCGUAAGAUGGUUCCUCCGAAUUUCCAACAUCUGUCACGUCUUUUCACCGAAAACAAAACAAAGUGAUGCGUACAAGAUUGUUAUUAUUGUAAACGUUACAAAGAUGAGAACUGAAUAAAAAUAGGACAAAUAGUAAAGCGCACUGUUUCGCAGCCACGCGCACGCUUUUCCCACGUUGAAUGUGUUCAUCUCGUUAGAACAAUCGAUUUUUCUUUAUGCGACUCGAUUAGAAACUUCUCAACAACGUAACUGCUGUGAUAGCGAAUGAAGAUCGAGCGGAAAGAAUCGAGAAAGCCGAAGAGACACCAGAAUUUUUAAGACGUUAUUAAUUUUCGUAUUUACAUGUAGAAUAAAAAUUGAAAAAAUAAUAGGAAAGAAUGAGAGAAAGAACGAUAACAGAAAGAUGUGAAAGACAGGUGAAGAAAAUAGGUAGAAUAGAGUGUGUAAAAAGAAAGACAGAGAUGUAGAGACCGAUCGUUUAUUGUAAACAGAUAGUCGAGACAUAGUGAGUAACAGUUGCUUAAUCGCCAAUAAACUUGUUUGCUUUUUCUUUAAUUAAUGUGUACACAUUUCAAAGGAAUAUUCAUUUAUCUCUUCAGAUGACUUAUUUUAUCUGAAAGCAUAAUGACCAUCGACGCGAUUAACGGCGAUUAAGCAACUGUUAUACUUUACAAGAAAGGCUAAAAGUAACGUUACCCUGAAACAGGAAACAAUUGGCUGUAUUAAUCGCAAAAGAUAUAGCAGAGGCAUUGGCAGAAUGGAAACACGUGAUUACAGCCUCGAUUACUUUUUAGCUUGGAUUUCGCGAAAACGAAAUAUAGCACUUGAGAAUCACAGCAUGAGGAGAAUUACGCAUUGUUUUCUCGUAUGUAGCUUUUGUAGGAUAGAUCCAGGUAACGAUAGGUGGGAAAGACUAGACUAGAAGUGAGAGAAGGCGAAGGGAAACGCGGUUUCCUGGUCGAAAGUGACAUGGUGCGUGCACAUUCGCUUUUGCGACGCAUUCUUUUUGCUGUCAUACUUCUGCAGUGUAUGUAAAUUAUACUGUCAGUGUGUGAAAGAGUAGGUGUCAAGAUUUGCGACAGAUUUAUCAAGAGGUGGAGCAGAGGAAAGUGACAGUGAGGAAAGUAAGGUAGAAAAUAGAAGAAAGAACGAAAAUGUUUGAACAAGUGAAAGAUCUAAAGAGAAAAGAGUUUUAAUUCAGUAGCGAGAUAAGAGAUAGAAAUUGAAGAAAUAAUAAAAAUAAAGAAUACAGUCAAAAGAGUUAGAGAAUAGUUGAGGAGGAAAGAUGAGGUAGAGACAGAGUCUUCAAGAAUAAGAAAGAAAUAACAACGUGUCAUGCAGAAUGAAAUACAUAAUAUCGAUGGAGAAAUCGAUAAGAGAAUCACAGGAUGUGGCAUUUUAGCGACAAGCGUGUAAUGAAUUUACAGAAAAAUUUAUAUUUUUAUGUUGUUCAAGCAUAGAAAAGUUUAAAGAGAGAAAAACAGGGGAAAUGAAACAUAGAUUUAGAAACUUGAUAGAUAGAAAGAUAGAGAGUUCAAAAAGGUAUUUACAAAAUUAGUCAAGAUGAAUAAGAAACCAAAAUAAAUUUAAAAUGAAGAAGAAAGACACCUACAAAGGAAAGAAAUAAACGAGAAUUGAAGAAUCCUUGAAAAGGAAGUAUAAUUUUCAGAAAACAAUUGGAGCUGAGAGCAACCAAAUUGAGAGAAAGAUAGAUAGAGUAAAAGAGAAAGAAUAAAGUUAAUAUUUACAUAGAGAUAUAAAUAGAAGAAGUAUUCGAAUCCUUAAACACAGAAAUCAGAAAUAAAGAACAAUAAAACAGUUGAAAAAUUGAAGUUUACAAAGAGAAAGAGGGAUACAGGAAACAAAAGUACAUGGAAGUGGACAGUGUUGAAAAUAGGAAGAGAGUAAAGUAUCAAAGCGAAUAUAAAAUUAAAAAGAAAUUAAAUAACCUGUAAUAAAAAUAGAACAGCGAUAUACACAAACUUAAUAGCCCAUAGUAGAAAAUGGAAACAGAAAUAUAAUUAGAAAAAUCAUUUUUAUAUUACAAAUUGAAUAUAUAUAGAAAAAAGGAUAAACAAAAUAGAAAGUAGUUAACAACUUUUAUACUAUACAUUGAAAUGUAAGAAGGAAACAGACAAGGAAAAAUCGAAAACAAUAGUGUACAGAAAAAGAUGUCAGGCAGAACGAGAUUAGAAGGAAGAAGAAGUGAUCCUUCAAGAUAAAACAAUAUACACAUAAACUUUUAAGGACAGUGUAAUCACAGUGUACAGUAUAGAACAGGUACUUCAGUAUUCUCAAGUUCACAUUAAAGAAGAAAGGAAAAUCGCGAACUGAAAUACAAUAAUACAGAAACGCAGCAGAAUAGUAGAUAUGAAGUCUGCAUAGAAAGGCUGUUAUUAUAAUGGUAACAUAGCAAACAGAGCAAAGACUAGUCAUAGUAACAUAGCAACUCGUAAUUAUAGCGACACGAGAGAAAGUAAAACAUAUACGAGAAGGAGGUAUGCGAGGCAAAUUAGGUAUAGAAGAGGGUAUAGAGUAGAAAAGUAGCCUGUAUGGCGAAACAUAAAUGAAGAAAAAAAAAUAAUUCAUGGCAAAUUCGACAAAUUUCGACAUCGUAAUACUGGUAGGUAUUUGCGGAAAGCGUACAAGUAAAAGUUAGGAUAGUCCAAAAGAGAAAGAAGGAAACUGCGACUUCGAAGAGGUCGAAUCUCAGAGGAAAGAUAACUGUGUAGCGAUUGUGAAGAAGAAUGAAGAAAAAUAUAGGAACAGUUUGUGGAAUAGAAGGAACAUUUUCACAGAAGAAGAGGAGAUCGUUAUCGAAGAGAGAAACAAAGUAUAAAAGAAAGUUUGUACCAGUGGAUAGAAAAGAGGUAACACAAAGAGGCGAAGAAGAAGAUAGAAAA